rnacentral:rRNA from 1 species
AUUGAACGCUGGCGGCAGGCCUAACACAUGCAAGUCGCGCGAGCGGCGGACGGGUGAGUAAUGUAUGGGGACUGCCCGAUAGCGGGGGCUAACUACUGGAAACGGUAGCUAAUACCGCAUACUAUCGGAUAACCCAUAGGGGAUUAGCUAGUUGGUGAGGUAAUGGCACACCAAGGCGACGAUCCCUAGCUGUUCUGAGAGGAUGAUCAGCCACACUGGAACUGAGACACGGCCCAGAUUCCAAGGGAGGCAGGAGUGGGGAAUAUGGCACAAGGGGCGCAAGCCUGAUGCAGCCAUGCCGCGUGUAUUAAGAAGGCCCUAGGGUUGUAAAGUACUUUCAGUCGGGAGGCGUUACCGACAGAAGAAGCACCGGCUAACUCCGUGCCAGCAGCCGCGGUAAUUC